UAUAGAACAUAUGUUUAUAAGUAUAUAAAGAGAUCAUUUUGUGCAAAUAGCUGUGUUUUAGUGGGAGCAGUAAUGAUUUAUUUAAUAAAUAUUAACCCUAAGAGAAAUUUGAUAAAAAACGAAGCGAAUUGAAAUAUCUUAAUAGCUUUAGGAAAAGAAAUCAAAAGAGAUUCUAUGAUUAGUGUGAGCGAAAGUAGACAAGCCUAAAAAAAAGUAAAACAGAUUUAAAUCUUCUUGAACUUUAAGGGGAACCUUCCUCUAAGGCUAAAUAAUAAACAUAAGCGAUAGUGUAAUAGUACCGUGAGGGAAAUUUGUAAAAAGUUAUUUUAUAAGCAGUUCAAGCUAAAAAAAAGCAAGAACGUACCUUUUGCAUAAUGGGUCACCAAGUUAACUUUGGAUGCAAGUUAGCGCGUAGUUAAAACAAUCAUAAGUAAUGAUUAGUGUCUAAAGUUAGACCCGAAGCCUGGUGAUUUUACCACAAUCAGGAUUAUAAAAGUCCGAACGGUAUAUCGUUGCAAAGAUAUCCGAAGAAUUGUGGUAGGUAUGGUGAAAGACAACACUGACCAGGAAAGCUGGUUUUCUGCGAAACCUAUAAAAGUAGGCAAUUUUAGUUACAUCUUAGUAGGUACAGAACUUAAUCUCAGACAAAUAGUAUAUUUGUAUAUAUCGGGGGAUCGUGAAGAUUUUAUCGGUGAGUAUGUAGACUCGGAAUGACAAAGAUGAAUCUAAAAUAAUCAGACAUAGAGUGAUAAGGUUGUAUGUCAAAAGGGAAACAGCCCAGAACAAAAGUUAAGGUUCCAAAAUUAUAGUUGAGUGAAAUUAAGAAAGUUUCUAUUUAAGCCGACAAGGAGAUGGGCUUAGAAGCAGCCAUAAUUUAAUGACCUCGUAAUAGAGCACUUGUUAAACCUUUAGAAGCGUCGAAAAUUCAACGGAUCUAAACUAUAUACCGAAACUUUGUCCAUUUAUAUUAUUAUUAUAUAAUUGUAUAAUAAGGGGUAGCAGAACAUUGAAUUAACACUAGAAAUUCCUUUUUUAAAGGGAUCUGAAAGUAAUUCAAGAGAUAAUGGUGACAUUAGUAACAAUAAGAAGACAAUAAUACUAAAUAACAUGGUAAAAGUCUCCGCCUAAAGCUUAUGGUCCGUAAAAAGUAACGGCCUCUAAAUUGAAAAUCUAAUGGUUUUGAUGAUGAGUAAAUCUUUUUUUACUAAAGGACGACGUUUUAAAGUGAAAAGCGUACUGGAAAAAUAGUAAUAUAUCUAAAAAGAUGAAAAACAACCGUACCUGGAUUAACCGCAACAGGUAAGCUAGUAGAGAAUACGAAGGCGUAAAUGGGAUAACAAUCUUAAAGGAACUCGGCAAAUUUACUACGUAACUUCGGAAUAAGGAGGUCUCAUUAGUCUUGAUUAAUAUCAGGUAAAAAGGAAGAAGCAUGAAAUAAUGUUGUACGACUGUUUAAUUAAAACACAGCACUUUGCGUCAAAGAUUUAAAUCAAAGUAUAAAGUGUGAUGUCUGCCCGGUGCCGGCUGGUUAACAGAUAUAAUUAAAUUUUCUUAGGGAAUUUAGUGUUGACGGAACCCCCGGUUAAUGGCGGCCUUAACGUGAGGGUCCUAAGGUAGCGAAAUGCCUUGGCCGUUAAAUGCGGUCUUGCAUGAAUGAUGUAACGAUACAACAGCUGUCUCUAAGAUUGACCCAGUGAACUUGAAUUAGCAGUGUUUAUGUGUGGUUAUAUUAAUUAUAACCUUGCUGCGUAAGUGAAAAUCUUACUCUACAAAUCUACUUUUUUUAAAUUUUUCUUCGUUGUGUAUAUGCACACAUAAACCAGUCUAUUAGGUUGGAGAGUUGUUAAGCUAUGUAGCAGAGCAAUUAUACUUCCGAUAGGCUUAAUUAUUGAAACCAAAACUUUUUUUUUAUUUAGCACUACUAGAGUUCACUAGUAUAAAAGUGAAGCUAUUCAUAGUGUUACUCUUUUAUUUAUUUGUAAAUUUUAAGCUAAGUCUAUGAUGUAAAGUUUAGAUGUUAUACUAUAGCAGUCAUAUCUAAUAGGAGAGAGAACGCAAUUGGCCUUGAGGAGUUAAAACUUGACGAGGGGUAGAAACGCAUGCGACCUUGAAUAAAGGAAAUAGACGUAUAUUCGAUUAUAGUUAGCUAGUCCCGGAGGGACACGAAACUGUUGUAUAUCAACAAGACUAUUUUUGCUUAUAAGCCUCAACUGGUAGUAAUAUCCUGGCCCGAAAGGAGGAAAGGAAGUUAACCUGGAUGUGCAGUUAUAGGUGGAUCUUAAAUUUUUACAUUUAAAAAAAUUAGUGGGCUAUGAAUGGGCAAAGAUUAAAAUUUAUUUUGCGCUAUUUUAAGUUCUUUAUAAUAAUAGUCUUUAUCUGAUAUUCUCUAGUUAGUUAGUUCCUAUUCCUGUGUAGCGUGUUUUAUAACAGCGCCUGGAUUGAGACUAGUAAAGCUAUGAGGUGGGGCGCCUCCGGCGUCGGAUUUACAAUUAUAAAUCUUAGUAAAAUCAAUUUUACGUCUUUAGGGCUAUCGGGUCCGGCAUGAAACUCGGUCGGGUGGUACUAUACUCGUAAACAAAUAGCGCCUCAUAUAAAUAAUAAAAACAAAAAUGAUGAUGAUGAUAAAAAAUAUAAACUUACUUAAAUCCUGCACUUUUCCCCGCGGAGCGGGGAAAAGGGCGCAAGCUCGAGCAGGUAAAUUUUUCUUAAAUUGUGCAUUAACGUACAAUCGUUUUUUCUCCGUAAAUUCUAAUUUAUUGCUGGCUUCGCAUAAAAAUAAUAUACAAAUUCAGAGAGAAUUAGAGCAUAGCUUUGAUUUUUAUACUUGGUUUGUAGGAUUUUCAGAAGCUGAAUCUAGUUUUAGCAUAGUCCCUAAACAAGAUAAUAAAGGCGAUGUUAAUAGAUUUUCUUUUAUGUUUGCUAUUGGUUUACAUCUAGAUGAUAUAGAGGCUUUAAAUUAUAUCCAAUCUAAAUUAAAUUUUGGUGUAGUUAGGCUUUUAAAAGAUGAAUGUAAAUUAGUAGUUACUAAAAAAGAGGACAUAGAAAAAUUAAUAUUAAUAUUCGAUAGAUUUAAUCUUAAUACUACUAAACAUUUAGAUUAUUUAGACUUUAAAAAAGCUUUUAAUUUAUAUUUUAGUAGAGAAAAUGUCUUAACAGAUGUUUUGAAAACCCAAAGGCCCCCGGGGCCCCGGCUGCGCCGGGGCCCCAGGGGUCAUUUCCCCCCACCCACUCAGCUGAGCUGAGAGGGUCGCGAAGCUUGGGGGGAAAUAUUAAAUUUAAAAGAUAGUAUGAAUAAAAAACGUACUAAUUUUGAGAUGCCUAUUGAUCAUAAUAUAGUUAUAACUAAAAGUUGAUUAUUAGGUUUAAUAGAGGGUGAAGGGUCAUUUCAGUUAUGAAGAAAUGAUGUAGUAGCUGUUUUGAGUUUAGUUUUAACAGAAAGGCAAUUGCCUGUUUUAGAAAAGAUGAAAGAAUUUUUAUUUAAUGAUUUAGGUUUUGAUCUAUAUUCUAAAUUUAAAUUAGGUUCUUCUUCAGCUAUAACAAUUAACAAUCAAAAAGCUAGAAAGAAUAGUAAAGCAAGUGCUUUAUUAAUUAUUAAAAAUAUUUAUAUUCUUAAUAACUAUUUUGUACCUUAUUUAGAAAACAUGCCAUUUUUAACCAAAAAGGGUAAAGAUUUUAAAGAUUUUAAAUUGAUCUGUAGUUUAUUAUAUAACGGAUCCCAUAAAAAUGACGAGAUAAAAUCUCUUAUUUUAAAAUUAUCAAAUACCAUGAAUAAUUUUAGGUUGUCUACUAAUCCUAAAGAGGUGGAGUUAUUAAAUAAUUCUGAAAUGAAUAUUUUAGUAAAUGCUCCUCAUGUUGUUAAACAUUUGAAUGAUGGUAGACAAAUAGAUUUGAGGACAGAUAAAAUUAUCCAUCAACAUUCUAGUAGUAUUUAUGAAGUAAUUAAGCCUAAUAAAGAGAGGGUUUUAUUAUUAACUUUAUUCGAAGCUGCAGAUAUUGUAGGUGUAGAUAUUAGAACCUUAAGUAAGCUAUUAGCUGAAGUAUCUACUGAUGCAGUAGAAGUUAAGGGUUAUUUUGUUAAAAGAAUAGCUGUGUUUGUACCUAAUGUUCGAAAGGACUAGAAAGGGAGGGGAGCGAAACGCUUGUUGGCUUCGCAUCCCGUAACUUAAAAAAAAAGUAAAGUAAAAUUGAGAUUAAGGUUACAACCGAAUCAGUUUUAUAGAUUGUAGAAAAAUUAGGUGAAAACGGUUAAUGACAUCCUAGUUAAAGACCGUCGGCAUUUGUAAAUGUCGCUACAGACUGGAUCGCCGGGGUAAGGCUGUAAUGCCUAUCCAAAUGUACAGUCGGAUUCCAUAACGAAAUAGUAAAUUCGUAAAAGGGAAGGAUUAUUCAAAAAAAAUAGUUUUGAAUUGCUAUCACACAUUAGUUAGUUAACCUUUAGUUAAUUGGAAUUGGCAGAUGCUGCUUACCUCUAGCUGGACGAGAAGACCCUAUGCAGCUUUACUGUUACUAAUUAUAGGGUAUAGAAGGCAAAUUUUAGAUAUAAGGUAUAUCGAUUGAUGAUUAUGAAAAUCCUUUAUUUUUCUUUUAUAUUUUUGAAUGAAAUCAGGAAUAUAUGCUUAACAGCUAUAUUAGUGAUUUAACCUAGUUCGAAUAAUGGCCUUGGGUGAGGAACUAUUGUUAGGAGACAGUUUAUGCGGGGCACAGACCCCAUAAAGAGUAAAUGGGAGUGUCUAAUAUUUAUAAUGUAAUAUCGUAUUUAUAUGAUAUUUUUUUUUGUUUGUUGUUUUAUGUAGAUAAACUACGUAUUAUCUUAUAUAAUUUUUUGUAUAUAUGCACGACCAUAUAUAUAUUUAAUAAAGUUUAUAUAGCAAUUUUUUGAUAGGUAAGAUUUUCUCUAAAGAGAAAUUAGAUGUACUGAAUAUAUUAUGAUCUGAAUCUAAUAUUUUCUUAGUUAUAAUUUAUUAUAAUAUUGAUUAGUACUUAGAAAGCUCAACGGCUUAAAUCUUGCCUUACUGUUUGAUUAACAACAAAUCUUUCAGUUGCGUAAGCAGGGCGUAGGAUCACAAGAUGCAUAAAGGAAAGAUCUUGUAUUAUAGGAAAAGCUACGCUAGGGAUAACAGGCUAAUUUGCGCAAGAGUGUACAAAAUGAGUGCGCGGUUUGGCACCUCGAUGUCGGCUUAACUUAUCCUCAUGGAUGCAAGAACUAUGUAGGGUACGACUGUUCGUCGAUUAAAAAGUUACAUGAGCUGGGUUAAAUACGUCGUGAGACAGUAUGGUUUCCAUCCUCUAGGGGGAAUUAGAAUAUAAUAAGGAUUAACCUUUGUACGAAAGGAACUGGUAGUAUAUAAUCUUAAAAAUUAUAUAACAUUUAUUAACCUAUGGUUUACCUGUUGUUUAUAUGCCCAAUAUUAAUUUAUAUAUAAUAUAUUAUUAUAUUAUAUGGGAUUAUACUAAACUCACUUAAGUAUCUUUAUAGUAUAGGCACGGCAGGAAAGCUAAGUUAGUUAAAGAUAAGAACUGAAAGCAUAUAGGUUCGAAGCUUACCUUAGGAUAUUUCUUAAAUAUGCGUAAUAUAAUAUUACGAAGAUUUUUAUAGGCUUUAUUUGAAAGAAUUAGAAAUUUUUAAAAAUAAAGUACUAAUUUUAUAAAUUACUAAACAUUAAUAUAUCUUACAUUUUUAAUA
rnacentral:rRNA from 1 species